rnacentral:rRNA from 1 species
UACGGAGGGUGCAAGCGUUAUCCGGAUUUACUGGGUUUAAAGGGUGUGUAGGCGGGUCUUUAAGUCAGUUGUGAAAUCUCCGAGCUCAACUUGGAAACUGCCAUUGAUACUAUUGAUCUUGAAUUCUGUUGAGGUGGGCGGAAUAUGUCAUGUAGCGGUGAAAUGCAUAGAUAUGACAUAGAACACCAAUUGCGAAGGCAGCUCACUAAGCAGAUAUUGACGCUGAGGCACGAAAGCGUGGGGAUCAAACAGG